AUUGAGGGGAAUGUUGUCUGGCUCGAGGCCACCAACUAGAUCCAUGUACCCAAAUCUCUUCUUUUUUUCCUUCUAAAUUCUGGGUAAUAGUUCAUCAUGGAUCAUGUGUUAGUGUCGUCGGACCAGGCUUCAUUCCCCCCAAU
rnacentral:pre_miRNA from 1 species